AGGAAACUGCCACCACUUUAUACACAAAGUGAAAAGCAGAUCAAGAUUCGCACAAGGCUGUGGUGUCAUUAAAUUAUUUCACCCACUUCCCUGCUACUACGACUUAGGGAGUACAUGAAUUCGUUUUCCAAGACAUCAGGAAAUGAAGGAGCCUACAGGAGAAUAUAUUCCUGUUCAGCUAGCAAGUUAUAUUUUCUGAGAGCUGUUCAGGGAUGAACAGAGCACCACGUCACUGGCACAAACCUAGAUUACAUCAAGAAAGGAAGAACAAGCAGAACUGAUGCUACUUCAUCUGGAUCACCACAGCAGAUACCAUGUUAGGACCCUUCAACACUCAAAUGAGCAUUGCAUCCACAUUAGGAUCUUCUCUGUAAGAAUGCUCAGGAAAAUAAGUGUUUAAUACCUAUGCAUAAUAUAUCACUUCUGGCAUGUCAGUGUCCAAAUCUUGGUGGGUUAACCAAGCUUUUUUGAAAAUGCAUGUCCACCUACCUUACUGCUUUUAUAUUAAUUUCUUCUAUGAUGCAGCCUUUUCUUCAAACCCUUGUGCUAGUUAAUAAUUAUAGCAAUGAUGGCUUACAUGAAUUAUCUCAAAUGAGUAUUUAAAGGGUUAGACUCCUGAUUCAAAUCAUGCUGAUUUUUACCCUUUAGAUAGUGGGGUGACUCAAAAUGCUUGUGUCAGACGUCUUUAACCUCUCCAGCUGUCCUGCCAGUGAGGAUGAGUCAGAAGCUGCAGUCCUACAAUGAACACACCCUAAAUCUGGAAAGCUCAGCUGUUACCAUAACUGAUUUGGCAGCUUGGGACAGGAUGGGGACUGGUACAUUACUGAGGUGACAGUAGCUUUUCCAGAGUGAGCCUGCAUCUUUCAAAGAGAGGAAAGUCUUGUUGUCCUUUGUCUUAUUCUACACUGAUAGUGAAAACAGUAUUUUCCAGGGGAGCUGAGCUGACUGAGCUAUAGUAGAGACUGUGUCCUUGGUAACUUCUGAGGCUGAUAGUAUGGAACACUUUGUUCACUUCCUACACUGGCAUUUGGGGAAAGGUGCUGAACUUGUAGAACAUGUGUGGUAUAGGAUGCGACUGGUCUGUGGUCCCUUGAGUCUUAAAGAAAGAUGUCUGGUCCAGGCAGAGAAGACUCCAUUAAGAACUGGGCAUUCCCACUGAUUUCAGUGUGUGUAUAUAUACAUAUAUACAUAUAUAUGUACUCGGUCCUAAGGUAUCUAUGCUUGUGUCACCCAAUGGUGAUAAGGGGAAAGGCAGGUUCUUUUAGGGAUCUUAGGCAGAAUGAUAAUGAUAAUAAUCUGUAGUAACAAAGCUUUAUUUUCUUAGCAGCCUAUUAUAAUCAAUAUAUCAAAUAAUUUAUUGCUAUAAUGGCACUGGACUUCUAGAAGCAGAAUCAAGGUAAUCCAAUUUAGAAGUAGCCUAAUAUUGCAUUUAAAAUACAACUUAACUUAUCAUUACAGUUGUGCCCUAACUCAAGCUUAUGAUACAACCUAAUUUACAAUUACAGCUCUGUGUGCUGUUAGGCUUCCCUCAGGAUCAACAACAGCACCUCGCUGGCCGGGUGCCUGGGGCCUCCAGGGCUGGCAGGAAUGGGAGUAAUUGUCCUGGUGCCCAGCAACCUUGAGGCAGGUGGGGAGGGGAAGAAAAAAUCUCUUUGGUUUGUCUGCUUGGAUCACAGGACCUUUGGGGCCUGAAAAUGAGGGGAUGUGAACAAAUACAUCACCAACUUGGUUAAAGAGAGAGGCUGCUUGGCUUAUAGAAUGGCAUUGGUUAUGCUAACCACAUAAUACAGGGUCAGGAGCAGGGGUACUGGAUUCAUACACAUGGAUGGUUUUGGUAGCACUGCCCUGUGGGUGUCAAGUAGAAAUACCCCUCCUCACAGUGAGAGUAAGAAAAUACUUCGUAGAAAGUCAUUCUGUACAAACUGUGGUUGCAUUUGUGGCCUUUGCUGCCUUGAAGCUUUCCAAAGGGGAGCUCUGCACUUCAUGACCACCUGGCAACUGCAUAUACAACAGAGUGAUUUUACCCUUUUCAAUUAGCCAUAGUUAUAGACUGCUGUGGUCAAUAGAUUUUUUUCACACUGUUCCAAAGAAACUCCACAGAUCUAACAGCAAAUUUUUUAUUGGUAUUUCUUUUAAAAUUUCAUUUAAAAUGUCCAGUCUAUAGGCAUGUUGAAAGAAUGCUUUCCUGAGACUUUGUUGAUGGUUACUAUGGCUGCAUGUUUGAGUAGAUUUGUGAUUUGGUUUUGCUUUCAGAGUAGUACUAAAACUAUUACACAAACAAUGCUUUCAUUUUGCUUCCACAGUAUCUUCUACAGGCUUCAAAAGAAAUGCACACAGGAAACAAGAUUUAGUUCUAGCAUUUUCAUCGUUAUCUUUAAAAUCUAGAUUUUACAGUGGUAAUAAUAAAAUUUCCAACUGCUUUUGAAUAUUUUAUUUUUUUUUUAGCUAGCAGGAUUUUGAGUAGUCUGCUGAAUAGAUCUGAAAAGGAACUAGUCUGUAUAGUAAAGUUACUAAGCCUGACAUCUGCUUUAGUCAGGAUCUGUUUUCAA